GCAACAGAACGAAAGCGGACAUUUGAAAAGCGUACAAGAAAUUGGAUCCAAUAAAAGUGUUGGCGAUAAAAGCAAUAUUUCGCCAUUGGUUACUGACCGAAAAGAGAAUGAGUGAAAUUGAGGCAGAUGAAGAGGUAGAUAAAGCAAAAGAAUAUAUGAGAAGGAAACUGGCAAGUAUGAAAGAAUCGAGGCAAUUG